rnacentral:lncRNA from 1 species
AAGUCCAUUAAUUUGAAUUGAAACUGAUACAAAAUCAACGGACAAGAUGAGUUAUCCUUACAAGGCACCUAGCAUGGCAGAAAUUUUCCCAUUGUCAUAUCAGCAACCGAAGAGUUCAAAAAUUUUAUCAAGGAAAAUAUCAGGAAAGUGAAAGGAGUCAAAAGUAAAACUAGUGAAACCGGCUCUAGGAUGUCGGUAGAUUCCAGCUGCAAAGGAUUUCCACCAUUUAAAUCUGCGGUACGGUCCAGAGGCGAAUUUGGCAGCCAGUCAUUCGAUUCUUUGCGAAAACCUCUCAUUGAAAAACAGAAGCUGACAAAACAUGCUGAACAACUAAUUGAGAAAACCCGCUCCGAAAUUUGCUCAAAAAUUUCCUCAGCUAGUACUCGCAAAAAUUAUUCUGAUAAAGAAUGUCAAACAUAUGAAAUGGAAAAUUUACGAAUAGGCGAUCAAGACAAACCUGCAUCAGCAGCCAGCUCAGCACGGAGCAUAGGUUUACAGACAGAUAUUCUGGAAAAUAGUAACAAGACUGAUAACUUUAGGACGACACCUAGUUCCAAGAUAAAAUCACCUCGCUCUAAAAAGAAGAGCUCGUGUGGAGUAAAGUCAAGUGAAGAAACCCUAAAGACCAAUCGUUCUUCAAAUAAUUUACCAUCUAAGAAUAGCGUACCAGAAUCUUAUCAAAGAGGAACCGUACCAAAGUAUAUACAGGAGAAAAAAUUACAAAAAGAGCAAGAAGAAACGGAGAAGAAGAAAAUGGCGCAAAUGCUAGGAACUGAUGAUCCUGACUGUCCUCCAGGCCACGUUAGACUGCCAGAUGAUAAACGGAAAGAAACUCUUCAAUUAAUUAAAAACAAAUAUGAUCAGUUACUACUAGAAUUAAAUGGACUACCUGUGAGAUCGGAUUCUUACAGGAUUAAGAAACACAGGACAUUCUUGGAAAAGGAGCUGGAGAAAAUGGAAGCUGGACUGAAAACAUUUUCUCGUGAAAAAUUAUUUGUAAAAAUAGCUCCAUAAAUCUGUAACAUCAAUCCUCUCACCUCUGUUCCCUCCUACUUUUAUGCUUUUUCUCACUGCCCACCACAAAUUUUAUGUGACGAUAAGAUGAAAUUAUUGUGUGAUAUUGUGUGAUAUUGAAAAUAAAAAUUGUAUUUUGAUCAAAAAUUAUAUAAGAUUUUUUUUCUUUUUUAAACUUUCCCCUAAAACAGUUUUACGCGAAUAAAGCUUGAAACGUUCAUGCAUUAUUCAUUUACUGUCAUUUAGUCUGGAUUUGAUCCAGGAGUUUCUUGUGCGACAUUAAGCUACUUAUGGGCUUCCCUCAUUUUUGAGUCAAAGAUCCCUAGGCCUGAACUAUAACACCUACUGCAAUCUUACAUUGUUUCACACUCCUAUUUCUAAAGAAGAAUUAAACCUUUUUUAUAAAUCUUAAAUUUACUGCACUUUCUGCCACAUUAGAAAAAAAAUAUUAAGCCCAACUCCUUAAAACUAUGAUUGAGAACUGGCUUAUUGAUGGCUUAUUGUGGGUCUGUUACAUUAGGUUACGUUGCGUUAGGUAAGGUUACGUUAGGUUACGUUACGCCACUCAGGCUUGUGGGGUAAGAUCCUCUAAAUCCUGUCAUCCUAAAAAGAAGAACGUCAUCCUGAAAAGGAUAACAUCAUCCUAAAAAGGAGAUAACGUGAUCGUAAAGGCAAUAACGUAAUCGUAUGUUGAAGGUGGCAAAAGCAUGAAUUUGAAUUUGCCGCGAAAGAAAAAACGGACGGGGACGGUUGACUUUGCCGCGAAAGGAACGGAAUGAAUCAGCCUAAGUACCGAAGUGUCUCGGAGGAGGGGUCAACGGGUCUGCAGAGAAAGAGUGGAGUGGCUGCGAGGAGCAGCCCAUGUACCGAAGUACACCCACAGUUAAAAACAGUAGAAUGUUCAAAACUUCUAGUGCCGAAUUUAAGAUAAGGCAACUUGUGCUCCCUGGAAACAUCAGAAGCACCAAAGGCACUAAGUUAUUUUUCCUUCACAAUUAGUGAAUGCUAUGAGGUGGAUUUUGCAUUAAUGAUACUUGCUUCUGCUAGAUUAAAAUCAGUUUCAAUGAAGCUAUCCAGCCUUUUUCUCCCUAAAAGAACAAUAUUUCUCGCAAACAUGACUCACCUGGCAUUUGGAAGAGGUAAUAGGAAACAACAUUGCUGUUUAAAAUCUCUAGCUUCAGGUAAAAGCUACUAUUAAACAUCGGCCAAAUUAUUAUCUUUUCUAGUUCAUGCAGAUGAAAACACCUUGCACAACUCAGCUUGCCCCAAGGCCGCUGAGAACUGGGGAAGGCUUUAUAUUAAUUUUUUUUUUUAAUCAUCUCAAUUGAUUUUAGGAAGAAAAAUUUGAGCGCAUCACAUUUACCGCUGGAUGCCUUUCAAGCAUGCUGCUUUUGGGGAAGGAAACUGUCAAUCGCAUUCAUUUACGUAGCGGUGUGAUUAGACAAAAUUGAAGUAUUUCUUCAAAUUUUGAGGAAGGCUAAGAAAUUUCUGCACCCCUGAUCCCUUUGCAUUGAGUUGUACAUAUUACGAUGAUUGCUUCUCAAAGACACAGAUUGCGUAGUACCUUAAUGUAGUGGCAGAUGCCAUUCCUAAAUAAUUUGGAUUCGUACAAAGAAUACCUGAUGCAUGCAUGUACUUACUUAAAUGAUGCUGAUACCUUUUCCGACGAAGAUUCAAAAGUAUUUAAUUGGAGAGAACUUACCUCAGGGUGCUCAUGAAGAUACCAAGAGAUUGAUGAUUUUAUGCCAAUUGAUAACAGUCUGCAGUCCCGAUAUCACUUUGAGAGCUCAAAUUCUUACGGAAGAACUGAAGACACACAUCACACAUGUUGAAUGUCUUCUAGUUCUGUUCGUUGCAGAUGUGACAGCACUUCUAAGUAAAAUUUAAGGAAACUUGCCGAUGAUUUGUCCAAUUUGUCCAAGCGCCGAAUUAAGUCACGCACGCGUCGCGUUGCUAAAGUAUAGAAUCAUGAAUUUUUGAUUUUCAGAAUGCAGAAAUUCAAAUCAGAACAGCAAAAAAUUAAUUUUGAUGAUCGGUGUCUCACGACACUUUGUCAUCGAUGUAUCAAAACAAAGCCAUGUGAGUUAACCUCAACUUUUUUCAUUCAAAAUUUCAAAAGUCCAGAAAAUUUCCAGUAUUCUAGAUUUCGUAUUGUUCCUAAAAUUUCUCUUUUAAUAUUUCAUCUCUAUCUGUUAAAAAUGUUCGCUCGAGAAAAAUCUCCCCUUCGUUUUCCAGGAUUUAUCUCUCAUAAGUUUAAAAUUGUGACA